rnacentral:SRP_RNA from 1 species
GCCAGGCACGGUGGCGCGCGCCUGUAGUCCCAGCUACUCAGGAGGCUGAGGCAGGAGGAUCACUUGAGCCCAGGAGUUCUGGGCUGUAGUGCGCUAUGCGGAUUGGGUGUCCGCACUAAGUUCAGCAUCAAUAUGGUGACCUCCCGGGAGCGGGGGACCACCAGGUUGCCUAAGGAGGGGUGAACCGGCCCAGGUCGGAAACGGAGCAGGUCAAAACUCCCGUGCUGAUCAGUAGUGGGAUCGCGCCUGUGAAUAGCCACUACACUCCAGCCUGGGCACCAUAGCGAGACCCCGUCU